rnacentral:rRNA from 1 species
CUGACGUUAGCGGCGGACGGGUGAGUAACACGUGGGUAACCUACCUAUAAGACUGGGAUAACUCCGGGAAACCGGGGCUAAUACCGGAUAAUACAUGAAACCGCAUGGUUUCAUGAUGAAAGACGGUUUUGCUGUCACUUAUAGAUGGACCCGCGGCGUAUUAGCUAGUUGGUAAGGUAACGGCUUACCAAGGCAACGAUACGUAGCCGACCUGAGAGGGUGAUCGGCCACACUGGAACUGAGACACGGUCCAGACUCCUACGGGGGCAGCAGGC